rnacentral:rRNA from 1 species
UACGUAGGCAGCAAGCGUUGUUCGGAAUUACUGGGCGUAAAGAGUGUGUAGGCGGUGCUCUAAGUUCGGUGUGAAAUCUCCCGGCUCAACUGGGAGGGUGCGCCGGAAACUGGGGUGCUGGAGCGCGGGAGAGGAAAGCGGGAUUCCUGGUGUAGCGGUGAAAUGCGUAGAUAUCAGGAGGAACACCGGCGGUGUAGACGGCUUUCUGGACCGUAGCUGACGCUGAGACACGAAAGCGUGGGUAGCAAACAGG